rnacentral:sRNA from 1 species
AGGAAAUCCGAUUAAAGUGGGCGGCAAAGUAGUACCCCGAGUGGGCUUGGCGUAAUAUUUUAAAUCUAAGCUUCAUAAAUUCUAGUUUUCCGACUCGCGUUCACACAGCAACAUAAAAGGUUCACGAUUAAGGAAAAAACGUUUAAUUUAGAAAAAGGAUGGACAAAUAUUGAAAUGUACAAAACAAAUUUUGGCAAUAAUACACAUUGAAGGAGGAACACUUCCAUGGAUGGAUAUCGGUCGGCAGGUUGAACCCACUACAUGAGACAGGAUACCACACACCCUGUGCAAGAUGCAAGUUCCCUUAACGUUCUGUGCGCCUGGUACACAUUGCAUAUAAAGGCAAUAAGGAAAACUGGAACUAAUACCAAAUGCUUCACGGUCUAGGACCAUCGACAACGCCAUUUCCAGAUGAAAGUGGGCUAUGAUCCUUAAGAAAACACCCAUCAUAACGGCUUACUCUGUUCUUGAACACACCACUAUUAUAUGACCUGUGGAGCCCAGCACCAGCUGUAAAUUCAACUCCUCACCAGACUGGAGGCAUUCUGAGUUCAAUACUAUAUGCAUUCAGGAACUGUUUCUACUAGCGUACGGUUUCUCAAUCAGACCGGGAAAACCAGUAGAAGCAAUAGGUCUCCCGGCUACGCCAUUUCCAAGUGGAAACGGACGGUUGCUAGUGCAUGUGCUUGAUGCAGCACUUUCAUGCGUGGACCAUUCUCCGAGCCGAAAAGAUUGACUUGAUUCAACAGCAGUUAAUGGACUGCAGCCUCACCGACAACAUGACCGCAGCCCCGGAUGACUGCAUCCAAAUUUUAAUCUGGAAUUUUUAAGUUUUUAAU